GAUGAACGCUGGCGGCGUGCCUAAUACAUGCAAGUCGAGCGAACAGACGAGGAGCUUGCUCCUCUGACGUUAGCGGCGGACGGGUGAGUAACACGUGGAUAACCUACCUAUAAGACUGGGAUAACUUCGGGAAACCGGAGCUAAUACCGGAUAAUAUAUUGAACCGCAUGGUUCAAUAGUGAAAGACGGUUUUGCUGUCACUUAUAGAUGGAUCCGCGCCGCAUUAGCUGGUUGGUAAGGUAACGGCUUACCAAGGCAACGAUGCGUAGCCGACCUGAGAGGGUGAUCGGCCACACGGGGACUGAGACACGGUCCAGAGUCCUACGGGAGGCAGCAGUAGGGAAUCUUCCGCAAUGGGCGAAAGCCUGACGGAGCAACGCCGAGGGAGUGAUGAAGGUCUUCGGAUCGUAAAACUCUGUUAGUAGGGAGGAACAAAUGUGUAAGUAACUAUGCACGUCUUGACGGUACCUAAUCAGAAAGCCACGGCUAACUACGUG
rnacentral:rRNA from 1 species